rnacentral:rRNA from 1 species
GCAAGUCGAGCGGACAGAUGGGAGCUUGCUCCCUGAUGUUAGCGGCGGACGGGUGAGUAACACGUGGGUAACCUGCCUGUAAGACUGGGAUAACUCCGGGAAACCGGGGCUAAUACCGGAUGGUUGUUUGAACCGCAUGGUUCAAACAUAAAAGGUGGCUUCGGCUACCACUUACAGAUGGACCCGCGGCGCAUUAGCUAGUUGGUGAGGUAACGGCUCACCAAGGCAACGAUGCGUAGCCGACCUGAGAGGGUGAUCGGCCACACUGGGACUGAGACACGGCCCAGACUCCUACGGGAGGCAGCAGUAGGGAAUCUUCCGCAAUGGACGAAAGUCUGACGGAGCAACGCCGCGUGAGUGAUGAAGGUUUUCGGAUCGUAAAGCUCUGUUGUUAGGGAAGAACAAGUACCGUUCGAAUAGGGCGGUACCUUGACGGGACCUAACCAGAAAGCCACGGCUAACUACGUGUUAGCAGCCGCGGUAAUACGUAGGUGGCAAGCGUUGUCCGGAAUUAUUGCGCGUAAAGGGCUCGCAGGCGGUUUCUUAAGUCUGAUGUGAAAGCCCCCCGGNUCACCCNGGGAGGGGUCAUUGGAAAACUGGGGGAACUGGAGGGCAGAGGAGAAANGAGCAUUCCACGGUGAAGCGGUCGAAAUGCUAGGAGAGGUGCAGGAACCCCACCUGCCAAAGGCAACUCUCCGGGCUGGAAACUNACCCNAGAGAAGCAAAAACCGAGAGAGGCGAACGGGAUUAAUAGACCCUGNAAAGCCCCCCCCGAAAAAAAAAAGCGCAAAGGUGAAAGGGGGGUUCCCGCCCCCNANNGCGCUAGCUUUUACAAAUUUAAAAACCCCCCCCCCGGG